rnacentral:rRNA from 1 species
AUUCAGGCCAACACAUGCAAGUCGAGCGGGGAAGGGAGCUUGCUCCUGGAUUCAGCGGCGGACGGGGGAGUAAUGCCUAGGAAUCUGCCUGGUAGUGGGGGAGAACGUCCGGAAACGGGCGCUAAUACCGCAUACGUCCUGAGGGAGAAAGUGGGGGAUCUUCGGACCUCACGCUAUCAGAUGAGCCUAGGUCGGAUUAGCAGUUGGUGGGGUAAAGGCCUACCAAGGCGACGAUCCGUAACUGGUCUGAGAGGAAGAUCAGUCACACUGGAACUGAGACACGGUCCAGACUCCUACGGGAGGCAGCAGUGGGGAAUAUUGGACAAUGGGCGAAAGCCUGAUCCAGCCAUGCCGCGUGUGGAAGAAGGUCUUCGGAUUGUAAAGCACUUUAAGUUGGGAGGAAGGGCAGUAAGUAAUACCUUGCUGUUUCUGACGUUACCAACAGAAAAGCACCGGCUAACUUCGUGCCAGCAGCCGCGGAAUACGAAGGGUGCAAGCGUUAAUCGGAAUUACUGGGCGAAAGCGCGCGUAGGUGGUUCAGCAAGUUGGAUGGGAAAUCCCCGGGCUCAACCUGGGAACUGCAUCCAAAACUACAGAGCAGAGUACGGUAGAGGGUGGUGGAAUUUCCUGUGUAGCGGUGAAAUGCGUAGAUAUAGGAAGGAACACCAGUGGCGAAGGCGACCACCUGGACUGAUACUGACACUGAGGUGCGAAAGCGUGGGGAGCAAACAGGAUAAGAUACCCUGGAAGUCCACGCCGAAACGAUGUCGACUAGCCGUUGGGAUCCUUGAGAUCUUAGUGGCG